UGGGGAAUAUUGCACAAUGGGCGCAAGCCUGAUGCAGCAACGCCGCGUGAGGGAUGACGGCCUUCGGGUUGUAAACCUCUUUUGUCGGGGAAGAAGCCGUGAGGUGACGGUACCCGGAGAAAAAGCACCGGCUAACUACGUGCCAGCAGCCGCGGUAAUACGUAGGGUGCAAGCGUUGUCCGGAAUUAUUGGGCGUAAAGAGCUCGUAGGCGGCUUGUCGCGUCUGCCGUGAAAUCCUCAGGCUCAACCUGAGGUCUGCGGUGGGUACGGGCAGGCUAGAGUGCGGUAGGGGAGAUUGGAAUUCCUGGUGUAGCGGUGGAAUGCGCAGAUAUCAGGAGGAACACCGAUGGCGAAGGCAGAUCUCUGGGCCGUAACUGACGCUGAGGAGCGAAAGCAUGGGGAGCGAACAGGAUUAGAUACCCUGGUA
rnacentral:rRNA from 1 species